AUUGAACGCUGGCGGCGUGCUUAACACAUGCAAGUCGUGCGGUAACAGGCGUAGCAAUACGUGCUGACGAGCGGCGAACGGGUGCGUAAUACAUGGGAAUCUGCCUUUUAGUGGGGAAUAACCCGGCGAAAGCCGGGCUAAUGCCGCAUAAGAUCUUCGGAUGAAAGCGGGGGAUCGUAAGACCUCGCGCUGAUAGAUGAGCCCAUGCCGGAUUAGCAGUUGGUGAGGUAACGGCUCACCAAGGCGACGAUCCGUAGCUGGUCUGAGAGGACGGCCAGCCACACUGGGACUGAGACACGGCCCAGACUCCUACGGGAGGCAGCAGUGGGGAAUAUUGGACAAUGGGGAAACCCUGAUCCAGCGACGCCGCGUGUGUGAAGAAGGCCUGCGGGUUGUAAAGCAC
rnacentral:rRNA from 1 species